rnacentral:lncRNA from 1 species
CCUAGACUUGGAUAUGCUGGCAUACACAGUAUUUCCUUCUGCUGACCGGUGCUGCCCUUUAAGGCAUAGAUCAGCAUCUCUCAUGCAGUCACCUAUCUUUCCUGCAGAAAUUCUAACAUCCAUCUCUUUUAUUGCAGAAGUGAAACCUGUCAUGGUAGCAGAUGCUACUUGUGAGCAGUUUGAGGAUGACAGUACUGUGGAGACAGAGUCUAAAAGUGACCAACUGCCAGCGAUUUCCUGUCCUUUUACCAAACCCAUCAAGGGCAACCAGAACCGCCACACGUAUGAUAUGGAAGGGCUAAUGGAACUGCUGAAUCGUGCACAGAGCUGCAGGGUCAAUGACCAGCGUGGGCUACUGUCCAAGGAGGAUCUAAUACUGCCCGACUUCCUUCAGGUGCCUGAACAAGGUGGUGUCACCUGUACAAGCCAUCCCUCAUCCAGCCCUGAGAAUUGCACCCUCAAGGCAGAAGAGGCUGCCACCUCUCAGCGUCAAUCCCAGGUGCAGUCACAACCCCAGGUUUCUCCUUCUUCACCACUACAAAUGCCAUCUUCAUCAUCGUCAGCUGCUGCUGGGAAAUCUGGCCUGUGAUCUACUCCAUGAGAACCCCAGCCCACCCUCGGCCCCCAAUUUUAUGUUUUUUUGCCGUGAAGCCAGGCUUUUCCUGUUCGGUAUCUGUCGUAGUAACAUGAUCUCACAGACUUGUCUCCUUGGUCUAGGUUGAAGCCUGGCUAGACGCCAUCUUCUAGCUCUUGGGGCUCUCAGACGGUCUUCAGGAAUGGACACGUAUGCUCCUAAUGUUCUGACCGACUUUCACUAACUGCCCAUGCUGGCUGGGCAGCAGAGUGCCAGUAUUACCUACUUGCUGUACCAAACUAUUGUACGGUGUUGCUCUAUGUCGUGAAACAACUGCCAUUAUGGCUGCUCCAGUGACAACUACAACCCCGUGGCUAGUGGUGAUGCUGCCUGUAUAUAGUUUGUAAUUUUCGGUCUCUGUAAAAUGUAAAAUACACUACUGAUUAAGUCCUCCGUUUUUAUUUUGGGGUCCAUGGCUUUCAGUUGGUGGUGGAAGGUGUGGCAAGGUUUGGCAUGAACACAUAAACC